CUCUCGCGUUUCACAUUCCCAUUCCUUCCCUCUUCCCGAUCUAGAGCAGUGCAGCCGGAAGGUCGCUCGGGGCUGCGCCGACGGCGCGCGCCACCGGAGAACGUCGGGCUGCCCCCACCCCACCUAUUCCUCUCUUCAUCGGCAGAUCUCGGCCGGCGCGUUUGAGCGGCUGCGGGCCGGCGCGCUCGAGCAGCUCGUCCGUACAGUAGUAGCAGCAGGCUACCCCCGUGUCCGAUCCGCUGCUCCCUCGCCGUCCGGAGGUGGCUUCCGCCGCCUUCGCCCUCACCUCGUCGGCGGCCUCCGCCGUCUCCGCCUAGUCCAAGGCACGACCUGCCCCUAACCCUCAGUCCCUACCAUUUUGCUGCUCUACUGGUCCAGGGUCUGAAUGUCUUCUGUGAUGGCUUGUUGAUGGGCGCAUGUGCUUGGAGAGGGAAAGAAUCAGGGGAGAAAUUAAAUGGCUGCCGUGUGGGGAUCACGGGGAAGAACUUUGGCCAUGUUAUGAUGGCCCUUGCAGUGGAUGUUUUUCGUUUUGUGGGAGUGCCAGCGGCUCCACCAGACCCAAUUCUUGGGGUUUCAGAAGCCUUUUAAAGCAGAUAAAAAUGACAUGAAGCUCAAUCUUCGUGUUGUUGCCUAUAGAACAGAAGAGUUGUAGCCCUAUGUCCUCAAUGUAGUCAAGAAGGUUGAAAAUCUUAUGUUGGAGAAAGGAGAAAACAAAGAGUAUCUUCCUAUUGAAGGCUUAACAGCAUUUACCAAAGCAACUGCAGAGCUACUCCUUGGAUCUGACAACCCCGUCAUCAAGCAUGGACUGUUUCUGUAGCAAGUCAUCAACAAUAUGGAGUAGAGGAAGAGGACAUGGAUCUGGAGUUCUAGACAGUUUAUAAAUCAAAUGUCACAAGAACAAAUCUACAACUAUAGGGUUAAAGCAGCAGUGUACAUCCUUUUAGACAGUGAAAAAGUAUGGAGAUGCCCAUGCCGAGAGAAACAUGCACUGCAUGAAGACCUCUUACUUAUCCAUUGCUAAAAGUAAGCCAUCAACUUCACUAUUUCUUACCAUAAUCUUGCCGUAGGUUGUGCACCAGAAUUUUGUGGAAAUUAGCUGAAACAUGGCUUCCAGGAGGUAAUGUCAGGAUACUUAACUUAUACAAUGGAAACAUAUACUAUUGUGGUUGUUUGCGUUUGUAUGUCUGAAAUGCACCCGUAGCAUUAGCGCGGGCACUCUACUAUGUUGGAUAGGAUAAUAAGGAUGUUGAUGUUUAUGACUGUUUUAUGUUUUCCUAUGGUCAUGAUGUAUGUCAUGAAGUAAUUUCUGAAUGUGAUUCUGUAGCCAAAGUUUGGUCUGGAACCAUAUGAUGGCUUUGUAUGCCUGAAAUUUAUCUAUAGCGUUAGCACUUAAUUUUUUAAAAAAGGUUUCACAUGUUUGGAAGCAGCUAGGAAGCAUUGGCAAUAUUCAUGCUGUAUAUUGGGGAGGUGUAUGAGUUGAGAUUGAUUUCUUCUCUUUUCUUUCGUAUAUGAAACUAUAUUUACUUCGAUGGAUUUUCUUAACAGGAAUAAACUUUGGGACAUGCUCUGGUCAUGCUUUGGAAUUACACUUUGCAUCCGUAAAGGGAUCCUUGUGUUUGCGGUUUUGCCGUCCGAUUCAAAAGUAAAUGGAACAAAAAGUAAGUUUCAACUCUGGUUAAUAUUAUCUCUUUGUUGCAGGCGUACCUCAAAUACCACUAGAGGCCUCAAAAGAAAUGCUACAACGGGCGCUGGAUUUGCUGCAACAGAUGAGUACUCACUCUGUGUGUUGUUAUAUACAUUUAGCUGAAAUGUGGCUAAACCAAUAGGUGGUUACAUUACCUUUUUACGAUAGACUGAUAUUGUCUAUCUAUAAUACACUGAUGAUUGUAAGUUAGAGAUGGUAUACUUUCCAUAAGUCACUGCAUAUUUUGAAGACAAUAAUUAAUAAUAGCUUUCAUUUAGCCCACUUUUCAACCAGUCUAUGCAAUGAUCUACAGGUGGAUCAGUCAACUUCAGGACAUAUGUAUCCCACUGUGCUCUCUGCAAUGGUCCAUAGUUCUACUUAUUAGCAAGAGUGAUUCCCUGCUGACUAACCGUCUAAUAUAAACUGAUGUUUUGAGAUAUCUCCAAAGAUUACAAAUCUUUAAAAACUCAUUGGUAUUUCUCUAUUGUAUAAAAAUUAUGAUAUAGAUUUUAUAUUAUUGCAGCUGAAGGAAUUGCACUAUGAAAUUGAUGAUUGAAAAGCACGGGCAAUCAAGUAUUGACUAGAUAUGCUAAUUACUUCACUUCUUGAAAGGAUCAAGUUGUUAUUUUAUUUGAUCGAGCAAACCAGCACACACAAGCUGUAUCUGAAAUUUUUUUGAAAAACAGCACAGAAGGGAGAAGCCAUUGGUAAAAAGGCAAAAACAAGGUCAAGCAGAAUUCAAGGAAAACGAAUCCUUUUUUAUUCCUUUUUUGUUUGGUAAAAAAUAUCGUACUGUAUCGUGAGUUAAAACAAAAAGUUAAUCACUACCCCUGUAAAGUUUUGUUCGAUAGUUUUUAUUUUGUGAUAGUAAUCUUUUUUUCCCUCUUUUACGUUUAAUUGUUAGUUUUACCUUUUUA